rnacentral:rRNA from 1 species
UGGGGAAUCUUGCGCAAUGGGCGAAAGCCUGACGCAGCGACGCCGCGUGCGGGAAGAAGGCCUUAGGGUUGUAAACCGCUUUCAGGAGGGACGAAGCCACUCGGGUGAAUAGCCCAGAGGGUGACGGUACCUCCAGAAGAAGCCCCGGCUAACUACGUGCCAGCAGCCGCGGUAAUACGUAGGGGGCAGGCGUUGUCCGGAUUCAUUGGGCGUAAAGAGCGUGUAGGCGGCCAGGUAGGUCGGUUGUGAAAACUGGAGGCUCAACCUUCAGAGGUCGACCGAAACCAUCUGGCUAGAGUCCGGAAGAGGAGAGUGGAAUUCCUGGUGUAGCGGUGAAAUGCGCAGAUAUCAGGAAGAACACCGGUGGCGAAGGCGGCUCUCUGGAACGGUACUGACGCUGAGACGCGAAAGCGUGGGGAGCGAACAGG